GAUGAACGCUGGCGGCGUGCCUAAUACAUGCAAGUCGAGCGAACAGACGAGGAGCUUGCUCCUUUGACGUUAGCGGCGGACGGGUGAGUAACACGUAGGCAACCUACCUAUAAGACUGGGAUAACUUCGGGAAACCGGAGCUAAUACCGGAUAAUAUUUCGAACCGCAUGGUUCGAUAGUGAAAGAUGGCUUUGCUAUCACUUAUAGAUGGACCUGCGCCGUAUUAGCUAGUUGGUAAGGUAACGGCUUACCAAGGCAACGAUACGUAGCCGACCUGAGAGGGUGAUCGGCCACACUGGAACUGAGACACGGUCCAGACUCCUACGGGAGGCAGCAGUAGGGAAUCUUCCGCAAUGGGCGAAAGCCUGACGGAGCAACGCCGCGUGAGUGAUGAAGGUCUUCGGAUCGUAAAACUCUGUUAUUAGGGAAGAACAAACGUGUAAGUAACUGUGCACGUCUUGACGGUACCUAAUCAGAAAGCCACGGCUAACUACGUG
rnacentral:rRNA from 1 species